UCCCUUGAGGACUAGUGGUUAGGCCACAGCGCUCUCACCACUGCGGACCGGGUUAAAUUCUCGGCCAGGGAA
rnacentral:tRNA from 1 species